UUCAGGGAGGUGAAGGAGCUCAGUGGACGUAUGAAUGGAGAGCAGCCAAGUUAAACACACCUCCAACAUCCAAUGAACACAGAAUCAUCAGAGCUACUGAGUCUGACAGUGGAGGAUACAGCUGCCGGGGCAGAAGGGACUAUUUCUUCUCAGAGUGGAGUGAUAUCAUCACACUGACUGUAUCAUGCUGCAGUCUUCAGUGUCCAUGAACAGCAUCAACAUGCUGGUUCAGACGUUUCUUCUCAGGCAAGUAAACCCAGAGCCACACUGACAGCACACAGUUCAGUCAUACCAGCAGGGGGCAGUGUGACACUGAGCUGCUCUGUGGAGGGCUCUGCUGGCUGGAAGUUUGACUGGUUCAGACGUGAUUCACAGUUUUCUGGAGCUCAGAAAAUAGGAGCUGGAACAUCAGAGCACACUAUCAGUAUUUCAGAAGGAGGCAUCUAUUACUGCAGAGGAGGGAGAGGAGAUCCAGUUUUCUCCACAGAGGACAGUGCUCCAGUUACAAUUCAGAAACAAGUUUUGGCUGCUGUGAAACUGCAGCACAGCUGGUCUCA